CUACGGGGCGCUCCAGUGAGGAAUAUUGCACAAUGGGGGGAACCCUGAUGCAGCAACGCCGCGUGGAGGAUGACGCAUUUCGGUGUGUAAACUCCUUUUAUAUGUCAAGAAAAUGACGGUAGCAUAUGAAUAAGCACCGGCUAACUCCGUGCCAGCAGGCCGCGGUAAUACGGAGGGUGCAAGCGUUACUCGGAAUCACUGGGCGUAAAGGACGCGUAGGCGGGUUGGAAAGUCAGGUGUGAAAUCCUACAGCUUAACUGUAGAACUGCACUUGAAACUUCUAAUCUAGAGUAUGGGAGGGGGAGAUGGAAUUAGUGGUGUAGGGGUAAAAUCCGUAGAUAUCACUAGGAAUACCUAAAGCGAAGGCGAUCUCCUGGAACAUUACUGACGCUAAGGCGUGAAAGCGUGGGGAGCAAACAGGAUUAGAUACCCGUGUAGUC
rnacentral:rRNA from 1 species